ACAGCUGGCCAGGCCACUUCACGAGGGAGGCACUCUGGGUGCAGGCCAGCCCCGCAGGAGCACGGCGGAGGCCAGGGACAGACCCCAGGUGGCACCAGCCACACGGGCACAGACAAGGCCCAUGGCACUCAGCACCCUGCGUGGGCCCCAAGGUCAAGCAAGGCUGCCUCUACCACAUGUGUCAAGCCCCGGGCCCCUCAGCCACUCCAGGUCUCCCUGUGACCAACGCACCUGGCUUAAACAUGUCUGCUGCCAUAUCCCUACACUCUCAGGAGCUGGGCUGAACAAGAGCAAAGCCACGGCUCUGAAAAUCGAGGCUCGAGGACAAGGAGGGCAAGCAACGGAGAGGGAACCAGAGGCAAAGAGCCUUUUAAAGCCACGCGAGGAACCCUGACACAGGACACGAGAACGCGACUCGGGCUCCAUCUCAGAAGGAGAGUCCUGACUUUUGGAGUCUCGCUGUCCCUGAAUUUAAAUGUGUAAAGGUGACCAGCGGUGGGGCACCCUCCACGCGGUCCCAGCCCCAGGCGGUGGCGGCCACCGCGACCGAAGCCAGCGCGUCCCCUGCGCGCUCCACACACCGGGACAGCGCACCUCACCGCCCGCCUUCCUUCCCUUUCUGCUCUUCAAAAUUAAAAAGAGAAAGAAAAAGUCCAUCCGUGACCCCAAGUUUUCCUGCUGAAAUUCAAUCCAAAAGCACUCACAUGGACU